GGUUCUGGUGGUCAUUCCCCAUUGUCUCCAGGGCCCUCUGAUUGGCUGGCCCUAGGGAGGUCCACCCUGGUGGUCCAAGGACCCACAGGCUCACCGGCUGCUCUGGGGGUCCACAGAGCUGGCCAGCCCUCUCCCUGAUGGCCAUGGGACUCCAGGCUGCAAGUGGGACCACAGUUACCGGAGCACCCUGUGGUCUAAGGAGAAGAGGACAAGUGCUCCAGGCUGAACAAAAAAGACACGGUCAGCCAGCACGAGCUCCUCCUCCACACCCACAGGUGACAAACCCAGACGACCAGGCACCGGAAGACGACAAAGGGUCAAGAAUCCAGCAACCACGACAAGGCUGGGCGAGCUGUGAAAUUAUUUAGGAAUUAAAGUGAGCAACAGUGGAGACCCCCCCACCUGUGAGGAACGGAAGUUGAAACUUACGAACUUUGAUAACCUAAGAAAAAAUAUUAAAUUAAUAUAGUGGUGAAACUUGA